AUGGUCGAAUCUGAGGCCCAUCUGCAGCACGUACACUAUAGUCACACUACUGUAGAAGCUGUGGUCAGAAGUGUUAAUAUUGAGAAGUUCCUGAUGGGGAGAAAAGCUCAUUGCGAAACGAAUGAGGUGCUACACUCUCACCAAGAUGAAAGAAUUCGCUGGGAUUUUUUUGCACAGGCUGACGUAGGUUACAGCUCUUACACAUCUCGACGCCCCACAUCGAGCGCUAAAUCCAGGAAAACAGUCCCGCCCCGCUGCCGCUCCCCAUCGGUCAGCCUUUUUGUUUCUCAUUCAGAGCUCAAGAGUUCAGUAAUAUGA
rnacentral:rRNA from 1 species